CAAUUACAGAGGUAAAAUAAUAUCACAGGAUGUCUGAAUAGUAGCAGAAUGUCAUAUAAUCAGAAUAUUUCUCAAGAGAAUAAAAGAAGCAAAAAAACCUUGCUGCUUUUUUAAUUUGAAGAUAGGAUGUUAGGAAACAAGCUAGGAUGAUAUUUUUUUGAUCAAAGAUCAACAAGCAAAAAGAUAUAUUUGAAAAUACAAAAUGACACAAACUUCUGUAGUUGAUUAUUAGUCUCAUCCAGAACUACAAAAUCAACAUAUCCUUAUAGAAAUUCACGGGAGAAAUGGCAAAAAGAAGCUAAAACAGUUGAUGAUCCUUGAUUGCCUCUUUAUUACUUACAGUUCCCAGUAUUGAGGAGAUAGAGAAAAUUUUACUUUAAACUUUUUUUUUCUGAAAACAGAGAAAUCACAUUCCAGGAAAAUUCUGUUAGAGUCAUUUUUUUGUUUUCAGGACUUUGGUGAUGAGGGCAAUUCUUUUGCAUUAAACUUUUAAUUAAUAUCAGCAUUUUAACAAAACUUACUAAAAUUUUAAAUGUCUUCUCUACCUUUAGACUGUAUCAAGGAUCUUCCAAGGACAACUGAAGCUGCCUAUUUCCUGUACCAGCUGGACAAGGUCUCUUGGAAUGUGCCUUCUGGCUUCCUGGAUGAUCACUAGCCAGGUGUCAGUUGGAGAGUUUCAGCAUCCCAAUACCUUCAAGAUCAAUUUUGACAAGUGCCUCCGAGUACAAGUUUCUAUUGCCAGUGGCAGUCAGGUGAGCAGCAAGGGGAUAAAUAAGAACAGAGUAUUUGGCCCUUAGGAAACUAAAGAUACCAUCCAAAAAUCACAGGACAUUGGCGUGAAGCUAAAUAAUAAGAAUAUGUACCGUGUACCUUAAAUCACCAUCAAGAUUUCUCCUCUUUAUAACCCUUUUGGCGUGAAAUAUCCAGAGAAGAAAGUUUUAGCAUAAUAUAGUUCUUUUAAAGAAGCUUGGGUUGAGCAGAGCCUUAGUUUUAUUGAACUAGCA
rnacentral:lncRNA from 1 species